rnacentral:ncRNA from 1 species
UAAAGCUUCUUUAGCUUUAAUUUUUAUAUUUUUAAGUUUUAAAUAUAAGAUUUUACUUGAAUAAUAAAUUUUUAAAUAAAAAUUGUUGAAAUUUGUAGUAAGUGAUUUUUUAAAAUUUAAUUUUUUAAGAAAAAGCUAUAAUUUAUUAGUUUAGACUAAUUUUGUGCCAGCAGUAGCGGUUAUACAUAAUAUGCAAUAAAAAUAUUAUUGAAAAUAGUUAAUUUAAUUAUUAGUUUGAACUUAUUAUUUAAAGGGUGAAAUUUUUAAAUUAUAAAAAAUCUUUAUUUAUGAGGCUAGAAAAUUUUAUUUAAAGACUAGGAUUAGAUACCCUAUUAUAUGAAUUUAAACUUUAAUUUUUUAUUAUUAUUAGUUAUGUUCUUAAAAGUAAAUGGGAUUGGCGGUAAUUUAUUCUAUUUAGAGGAACUUGUCCUAUAAUUGAUAGUCCACGAUUAUAAAUUACUUAAAUUUUUAUUUUACAUAUCGCCGUGGUUGAAUAUCUUUUUAGAGAAUUAAUAUUCUUAAUUUUAAUGAAAAUUAAAACAGGUCAAGAUGUAUAUUAUAUUUAAGAAGUGAUGAGUUACAUUUAUGAAAAUAUUGAAUUGGUAAUUUUAAGAAUUUAAUGAAAUUGGAUUUAAUUGUAAUUUUAUAUGUAUAUAUAAAAUGAUUUUAGUUCUAAAUUAUGCACAUAUUGCCCGUCGCUUUCAUAUAAAAUGAAAUAAGUCGUAACAAAGUAGAUGUACUGGAAAGUGUAUCUAGAAACAG